UACGUAGGGGGCAAGCGUUGUCCGGAAUCAUUGGGCGUAAAGCGCGUGUAGGCGGCCAGAUAAGUCCGUUCUGAAAGCCCGGGGCUCAACCCCGGGAGGCGGAUGGAUACUGUUUGGCUCGAGUCCGGAAGAGGCGAGUGGAAUUCCCGGUGUAGCGGUGAAAUGCGCAGAUAUCGGGAGGAACACCAAUGGCGAAGGCAGCUCGCUGGGACGGUACUGACGCUGAAACGCGAAAGCUAGGGGAGCGAACGGG
rnacentral:rRNA from 1 species